UUGAAUAAAAUCAACUGAAAGGGAAAUCAUUUCGCCCUUUUUUUUUAUUUAAUUACACGUCGUAAACCUAUACAACAAGAAUUAUUGACAAAAAUUCUUAUAUUCAAAUUGUUUUAACAAUGAAUUAAUAAUGAGAUGGACUAAGCAAUCUAAAGUGAAUAUUCAUUGAGACGAAGUAUGAUAUUAAGUGAAGGAAAGGGGAAUUUUAGGAAAAAGAUCUAAAAACAAAGAUCUUUUUCCCCUUACUCUUUAAUAUCAUCGUAAUGUUUUUGCUAUCACUCUAGAUCGUAUAUAGCAUAGUUGUAUAUUUAGAUUCCCCUAUUCUAUUCCGUAAGUUAAGUAAUUCUCUUAAGCCACCCACCAUAUACAUUUAUACAUUGCUGUGGGCUAAGCUAAAAAAGACUAUUUCAAUGAUGGCCCUCCAUGGAUUCACCUAUAUAAGCCGCGGCUAAAGUUGCAAAAAUAAGAGCUUGAAUACCACUUGUAAAUAAUCCAAGGAGCAUGACAGGUAUAGGAACUACUAAGGGUACUAAAGAAACAAGAACAACAACUACUAAUUCAUCAGCUAAGAUAUUCCCGAAAAGUCGAAAACUAAGUGAUAAAGGUUUUGUGAAAUCUUCUAAGAUGUUAAUGGGUAAAAGUAUUGGGGUUGGUUGAAUAUAUUUUCCGAAAUAACCUAAUCCCCUUUUUGUAAGACCCGCAUAGAAAUAUGCCACGGAUGUGAGUAAAGCCAAAGCAACAGUAGUAUUUAUAUCAUUCGUGGGUGCGGCUAACUCCCCAUGAGGUAAUUGUAUGAUUUUCCAAGGUAAAAGAGCUCCUGACCAAUUAGAAACAAAAAUAAAUAAAAACAUAGUGCCAAUAAAAGGAACCCAGGGCCCAUAUUCUUCUCCAAUUUGAGUUUUACUAACAUCUCGAAUGAAUUCAAGAACAUAUUCGAAGAAAUUCUGACCCCCGGUCGGAAUGGUUUGUGGGUUCCGAACAGCUAUAGUGGCUGAACCUAAUAAGAUAGCAAUUACAACCCACGAAGUAAUAAGUACUUGGCCAUGUACUUGGAAACCUCCUAUUUGCCAAUAGAAAUGUUGGCCUACUUCCACACCGGAUAUAUCGUAUAACCCCUUUAGAGUAUUGAUGGAACAUGAUAGAACAUUCAUAUUGCCUUGCCCUCUGAAAAAAUCGAACUUUAAACAAAAUUUUUUGAUUCAACCAUCUCUUUGUCUACUUGAAUCGGAUAUUUUGAAUACCAACUAAGAUUUAGAAUACUAAUAAAUCACAUAAUAUCCCCAGUUAUUUUGAUCUAUUUUUGGAAAUUCAGAAAUAGUAAGCGAUUCCAUAAGGGAUUUCUAGGGAUUUCUGAAGUAAGUUAUUUAUCUUAUUAUGUUAUUAUUAAUCAAGGAUUUCUUAUAUAGCUAGAACGACCCUCACAAAUUGCGAAUACUAAUUUGUUAAGAAUUAAUCGGAUUGAGGAUAUGGCGUCAUCAUUCGCUGGAAUUGAAAUAUCUGCGAGAUCGGGGUCACAAUUUGUAUCGGUUAAACAAAUUGUUGGAAUUCCUAAAGUAAUACACUCUCGCAGGGCCGUAUAUUCUUCGUGCUGAUCAACGAUGAUUACAAUAUCGGGUACCCCUGUCAUAUAUUUAAUACCGCCCAGAUAUGUUUGCAAGCGAGAUAAUUGUCUUUUCAACAUAGCUGCAUCUCUUUUCGGGAGACGGUUGAGUCUCCCUGUUUUUUGUUCCAUUCUCAAGUCCCUGAACUUAUGAAGUCUUGUUUCUGUAGUGGACCAAUUCGUUAACAUACCGCCAAGCCAUUUUUUAUUAACAUAAUGACACCGGGCCCUUAUUGCAGCCCACUCUACUGAAUCAGCUGCUUUAUUUUUGGUACCAACAAUUAAGAAUUGUUUUCCCCUACUUGCUGCGUCAAAAACUAAAUCACAAGCUUCUGAUAAAAAACGAGCAGUUCUAGUAAGAUUUGUAAUAUGAAUACCCUUACGCUUUGCAGAGAUAUAAGGCGCCAUUUUAGGAUUCCAUUUCCUAGUACCAUGACCAAAAUGAACUCCUGCCUCCAUCAUCUCUUCCAAAUUUAUGUUCCAAUAUCUUCUUGUCAUUUCUCCCCACAACCUCCCCCCCUUUUUUUAUUCUUUUUCAAAAAAAAAAAAGAGACGAGGAACCCUGAACUGAAAUAAAUAAUUGUUCCGAUGGAACCUUCUCUUCUACUGUAGAUUGGACGUAGAUACACGACCCAAACCAUUAUUCUUUUCUAUUCAUUAUUCUUUUUAUUACCAAAGCAAAUAACCAUACCAAAUGCAGAUAGCGAAAGAGACGAAUCCGUUGUUAGGAAUCAUUAAAUCCUAUAAAUGAUUGUUCGGGUAUGUCGUGGAAUUUUUUUGAAAGACAAGAAUCAAAUAAUUUUCUGUGGUGGAACAAAAUAUCUCUCAUCUCCCCCUCGAAUAGAUUUGUUUUUUUUGUUUCCAAAGGAAUGUUGUUAUGUUGUUUUGAAGGGUGCACUAAUCCCUUGAAUCCGGUACCAACGGGUAUCACCCCCCCCAAAACAACGUUCUCUUUCAGGCCUUUCAACCAAUCGAUACGACCCCGGAGAGCCGCUUUUGCUAAAACUCGAGCAGUUUCUUGAAAACUUGCUUCAGAUAUGAAACUUUGAGUAUUGAGAGAUGCUCUUGUUAUUCCCAAUAAGACGACUCGGUAACAGAUCGCUUCUUCCAAAGCGCGCCCCAUUCGUUCUGCUCGCAACAAUCCAAUAAGUUCUCCGGGUGAAAAAACAUUAGACAUUCCAUCUUCUGAAAUCAACACUUUUGAUGUUAUUUGACGUACAAUAAUUUCUAUAUGCCUAUUAUGAAUCUGCACCCCCUGGGAGCGAUAAACCUGUUGGAUUUUAUUAACCAAAGAGAUUCGGCUUUGCGCUAUAGUUAGCUCAGCACCAAUCAAGAAUCCCCAAGGAAUUCCAAGAAUUCUUGGUAUACAUUUGUUCCAACCCUCAACCCUCUUUUCUAGAUUCAUGGAUAUUGAAUCAAUCGAACGCACUUCUAAGACCUGUUCUACUUUUGGAAGACCCUGUGUUAUAUCACCAGAUCUCGAUUUUUCAUAUAUAAAUGUAACUAAUGUAUCUCCUUCGUAAAGGGUUUCCCCAUAAUGGCCAUGAACAGUUGCUCCGGGGGUGGCCAAAUAAGGCUUAGCUGAUCGUAUCACUAUCGAGUCAACUUGAACAAGUAUAACUUGACCCGAUUUGAGGGGCGGUCCAUUUUUGGCUAUACAUACAUUUUCACAAAUAAACUGUCCAAGACUAAUUAUUUUAGAUGUCUCUGCACAAUAAUAGUGAUGGAGAAAAGACCAAUUCAAAUUGAAUGGAUUUAAAAUAAUGUUACGGCAUGGAUCGGGAUUAAAAAUUUUUCCAUUUUCAUCCAUUAAAUAAUAUUUUAAUUUAAUCACUUGAAAAGUCUGUUUUAAAUUGUCAAGUUGCAAAUAUUUAGUUACUAAGAUCUGAUUAUGAGUUAUUAAAUGGUAAGAUGAAUAAAAAUUCUCAAUUGGAAGGCAUGUUCCUAAAGGGCCCAAUGAAUUCCUAAUUGGAAUUAGGGGAUCUUUUUUAAUUGAUUCUUUUAUCACACUGUGAUAUUUUACAUCUUUGAAUGGCUCCAUUCGAGAACAAUUGGCUGCUGACAAAAUUAUCAACGACUGACAUUCCUUAUUUCUAUUCAACAACGUAUGAAUAGUUCCUUGAGGUUGGUUAAGAGAUUGUUGAAUUUUUGCCUUGGAAUAGGAAUAAAUAGCAGAAAAGGGAUUGAUAUUGGUACAAUCCGAUCCAUUAUCAGAGAGCAAUCCUGACCCCGACGGAUCAUUCCUUUUUCCGAUAUACGAAAUAGGGGAUUUCACUAAGUUGAUUUUUAGGAAAUGUCGAAUCAAACCAUUUGUCCUUAUUUCAACAAAAGAAGCACGGGCUUCUUCGCAAGAAGAACUUUUUUUGUCUUGGUUCCAAUUCAAUACUAAACAAGUCCGAACUAAUUGAAUACUUGUGUCAGAAAUUCCUCGAAUCGGUUUGCCAUUUCCAUAAAGGAUAUAAUUGACAAUUCGAAGUUGCACAUUAUCCCUUUCCUGCAAUGGAUCCGGUGGAAAAAGGGUUCCUAAAUUUAUACCGUCCGUUAUUUCAUAUGUGACGACAGGUCGAACUAAAACAAAAAACCUUUUCUUACUAGGUGUAAUUCGUUGGACAUAGAUCCAAUUUUGAACUUUUUUGUAUUCCUUGGAAUUUCUUUUUCCUGUUCCUGGUGGUAUCAAAACGCCGGUAUGCCUGGAUAUCUUAUCCGUCUCUCCAGGAAAAUGGAUAUCUCCAGAAAAGAUUUUCAGUUCAAUUCGUUUUUUUUUUCUCUCCACCCGGACCAACCCACCGACUCGGCUUCUUAGAUUUAAGGUGAUUUGUGUAUCGACCCCAACGAUACUAUUGUUCCGUACCAUUAGGGAAGAAGAUCCGGGCAAGAUAUGCACCUCUUCAGGAAUGAAAAAAAAUCGAUCUACUUUCAUUUGGUAUUUUGGCCUAAAUUCCUUGACUCCUCGAUACUCAAUCAAAUCCUCUUUUUUGAUGACUGAAUGCGUUUCUAUAGUCCCAUAUUUAAUAAUGCCCGAACUCUUUCUUCUGUAUCGAGGAUCAUCGAAAUAAGCAAGAAUACUAUUUCGACGGAAAAUACCAUUUACGGGGAUUUCAAUCGAGAUACCUGAACAGGGCAUUAGUUCAUUCUCGAGUUCUUGAAUCGAGUGUAGUGGAAUGAUGAAUUUAUUUCUUCGCCUUUUUGACAAUAAAGCAGAAUUCCCGUGAAGAAUAGGCGAAUAUACGAGAUUAUACUGGCCAGUACAUAUGAUUCGAUUAAGGUCUGAAUAAUCAGGAAUCCUAUCUUCUUUUUGACCAUAAAAAUCCGAACUAAACAAUUUCUGCCUCGCCUGAUCAUUGGUUACUGAGAGGUUAGAAGUAUAUCUUCGCUUGCCAGAAAGAGAAUGCGCAUUCAUUUGAUCCUGAUCCUUGUGGAUCGAAAGGUAGACUAGACUGGACCUGCACGGCCCUCCUAAUAAUAUCCAUAAAUGACUUGUUUUUGGUAAUAGAUGAACAUUACCAUAUGUAAAUUCGGGUGCAUGAUAGACAUCGGUACUCCAGUGCAUUUCUCCGUCUGAAUCAGAAUAAAUAUGUUUUCGAACCUUCUCUUUAAAAUUCAAAGUGGAUAUUCCUGCGCGAAUCUCAGCAAUUACUUGUUCUGAUUCUACGUAUUGAUCGUUUUGAACUAAAAGCAAACUUUUGGGUGGAAUAUUCACAUUAUGUAGAAUAUCUUCACUCUCAAUAGUUACAUACAAGUCUAUAGAACAUAGAAAGGCGGGAUGCCCAUGACGUGUACGUGUCGGAUGAACCAAGUCCUCAUUGAAUUUUAUUUUUCCAUUAGAUGGGGCUCGCACAUGUUCUGCAGUACCCCCCGUGAAUACUCCUCCGGUAUGAAAAGUUCGUAAUGUUAAUUGAGUACCCGGUUCUCCAAUCGAUUGACCUGCAAUAAUACCUACAGCUUCCCCCAAUUCAACCAGGUCGCCAUGAGUAGGACUACGCCCAUAACAUAAUCGACAAAUCCAAGAUGUACUCCUACAAGUAAAGGGAGUUCGAAUAGAGAUUGGUUGUGCCCGAAAGGUUAUGAAUCGAUUUACAAGUCCAAUGCCAAUGGCUUGGUUUCUAGUGGCAAUACAUCGUGAACCCAUGUAUAUAUCAUCUGCUAAUACACGGCCAAUUAAUGUUUGACUAAAAAUCCUUUCCGGCAUUAUCCCAUUCCGAGGACUCACAGAAAUACCCCGGGCGGUGCCACAAUCCGUUCGACGUACAACAAUGUGUUGAACUACUUCAACAAGUCUGCGAGUGAGAUAUCCAGCGUCUGAUGUUCGUACAGCAGUAUCCACAACUCCUUUACGGGCUCCGUAGCAAGAAAUGAUGUAUUCUGUUAAAGAGAGUCCUUCGCGUAAAUUGCUUUGAAUAGGUAAAUCAAUCAUUUGUCCUUGAGGAUCCGACAUUAAUCCUCUCAUACCUACUAAUUGAUGUACCUGAGAUGCAUUUCCUCGAGCUCCCGAGAAAGACAUUAUAUGAACUGGAUUAAAAGGGUCAGUCAUCCUAAAAUUCGGAUUCAUUUCUUGGCGCAAAUAUUCACUUGUAGCAUACCAUAUUUCAAUGGAUUGACGUAAUUUUUCUACCGCGUGUACAUUUCCAUACUGAUGGUGUUUUUCCAAAAUCAAACUUUGUUGUUCAGCAUCUUGAACUAGCCAUCCCUUAGAAGGUAUUGUUAAAAGAUCAUCAAUUCCUAAUGAAAUGGAUGUAGCAGUAGCUUGUUGGAACCCCAGAGUUUUUACUUGAUCCAGGAUAUGUGAUGUAUAUGCCAUUCCGAAGUGCUCUAUUAAUCUACUAAUAAGUCGUUUCAUGGCAGUUCCGUCUAUCGCUUUAUUGUGAAAGACCAGAUUGGCCCGUUCUGCCAUAAGUACCUCCAUAUUCCGCUGAGUAGGAUUCGACAAUGGGUUUGAGUCGGUGAUUGUAAAACUUCCUUUUAUCGAUCUUGAUUCGCGUAUAAAUUCCGGAACUAUGGACCUAGCUGAACCGGAGAGCCCCGAAGUCCCACGGUAUCAUAGAAUUAGGUAGCAUAUGAAUAGGCCCGAGAAAACCCCUGUAUAGCUUCUUCGAUUUCUCGAUAAAGAGCAAUAUGACCAACAGUGGUUCGAAUGUAUAUAAAAAGUAUUUUUUUUUUUAGACUUCUUACUAUUAGAUAGUGUCCAUAAAUCUCAUAAAAAGUACCUAAAGAUUCAUAGUGAACUUCGAUGGGAGUUUCUCUUGAAGCAAUAACGCGUUGAUCUAGUCGCCACCGGAGCCACAAAGGACUAUCUAAAUUGAUUCGUUUCUGCCGAUAAGCCCCAAUUGCAUCAUAGGAAUUCGAAAAAAAGGGUUCUUUCGUAUACUUAUAGUAACUAUUGUCACUUCUUUUUUGAUUUUGAUAGUUUCUGCGAUUACAUGGAUUAUAUCUAUUUACACAAAUACCUCGAUGAUUUCCGCUCGUUAAUACAUAGAGUCCAAUAAGCAUAUCUUGCGUUGGCACGGAAAUGGGAUCCCCAAUAGCCGGAGACAAAAGAUUCAUAUGAGAAAACAUAAGUAAACGGGCCUCUACUUGAGCCUCCAAGGAUAAAGGUACAUGAACAGCCAUUUGAUCUCCAUCAAAAUCGGCAUUGAAUCCCUUGCAAACUAAUGGAUGUAAACAAAUAGCGCGCCCCUCCACUAAAACGGGCUGGAAUGCCUGUAUGCCUAAUCUAUGCAGCGUAGGUGCUCUAUUCAGCAAUACAGGGUGUCCCUGCAUAACUUCUUGAAGGAUUUCCCAUACAAUCGGCUCUUUUUCUCGAAUUUUACUCUUAGCAACUCCUAUGUUCGAAGCAAGAUGUUGUCUAAUUAGACCACGAAUUACAAAUGUCUGGAAAAGUUCUAUUGCUAUUUCACGAGGCA
rnacentral:lncRNA from 1 species